rnacentral:rRNA from 1 species
UGGCGAACGGGUGAGUAACAUAUCGGAACGUACCGGGUAGCGGGGGAUAACUGAUCGAAAGAUCAGCUAAUACCGCAUACGUCUUGAGAGGGAAAGCAGGGGACCUUCGGGCCUUGCGCUAUCCGAGCGGCCGAUAUCUGAUUAGCUGGUUGGCGGGGUAAAGGCCCACCAAGGCGACGAUCAGUAGCGGGUCUGAGAGGAUGAUCCGCCACACUGGGACUGAGACACGGCCCAGACUCCUACGGGAGGCAGCAGAC